rnacentral:lncRNA from 1 species
UUUUCUUGCCACCAAAAUUUAUCUCCAGGCAGGGCUUGAAUGUGUACCUUACUUUGAUCAGUUAAAGUUAAUACUUUAUAUGAAUUUUUCACUUUAAAAAAAUAUAAAAAAUAAUAGAACAGGUAGAUCAUGUUCUUUGAUAAACAGGUGGGUAGCAAAGAAGUAGACACAUGGAUCAAAACAUCAACCCUUAUAAUUAAUAUGGUCAGAUGACAACCACCCACUAUAUCCAUGAGCUCGUAAAUUGCUAUCCUACUAUGUCUUCAUGAAAAAUUUGGACGUUGUCCUCGAUGCUUUUUGAUCUGAGCAUUUUUCGAGGUAGGUUUGAAAAUUAGGUUUUAACUUGAGAAGGCGUCUAACUUGGGAAAGGUUUAACCUAUUUUUAGAAAAAGUUUACCUAGGAUUUUUUCUCCAAAUCAUUCUUGAUUCUUUGGUUUAAACUAUGUUUAGGAAAGGUUUACCUACGAUUCAUUCUUGAUUCUUUGGUUUGGGCAAUCUUCUUUGAUCUUGGAUUUAGACGGCA